GGUAGGAUUUUCUGCAUGUUCUGCAUUCUCUGCUUUCUUAAUGGCAAGAACUUCUGUGGGAAGUUGGAGGAAGAAGUUGAUCCCACAGUACAAGUUUGGCACAUCCUCAUGGCCUUGAGAUGGUGUUUUCCCUGGAAUGUCCAAAGGCACCUAAAGGGAAGUGUUUCUGAGUCAGUGAAGGGAACCCAGCACAUUUUCCAGCUUCCAGGAGGAAAGGCUCAGGAGAAAGACAGGCAAACCACUGAUGAGCCAGUAACAGUAAACAGAAAGGAGGAAGAGCCAAGUGGAGCAGCUUGGAAGGAAGGCCCAGGUGGACGCGGGAGGAAGAGCUGAGCACUCUCACUCUGGCAGUGGGGUCUAUGCUGGAGGCAUUAUGUCAUGAGAAAUAUCAGAGAUAAGAAGUCCUGAAAAACAAUAAUUUAUGUGCAAGCUGACAAGUUUCAACAGCAUGGACAGAUAUGAAAAGGUUAUGAGGGUUUUUUGGGGGGUGUUUGUUGUUGUGUUGUCUUGGGGUUUGGGGUUGUUAUUUUUUUAAAUUUUAAACAUUAUUUGGAAACAGAUGGGUGCUUAACCUCUUAAGA